rnacentral:rRNA from 1 species
ACAGCAGUCGCCGCGGGAAUACGAAGGGGGCUAGCGUUGUUCGGAAUUACUGGGCGUAAAGGGCGCGUAGGCGGCCAUUCAAGUUAGAUGUGAAAGCCCUGGGCUCAACCUAGGAAUUGCAUUUGAUACUGUUUGGCUUGAGUUCGGGAGAGGUGAGUGGAAUUCCCAGUGUAGAGGUGAAAUUCGUAGAUAUUGGGAAGAACACCAGUGGCGAAGGCGGCUCAUUGGACCGACACUGACGCUGAGGCGCGAAAGCGUGGGGAGCAAACAGGAUUAGAUACCCCUGUAGUCCCUGUCUCUUAUAC